rnacentral:rRNA from 1 species
AUACGUAGGGGGCGAGCGUUGUCCGGAAUGAUUGGGCGUAAAGGGCGCGUAGGCGGCGCGGUAAGUCUGGAGUGAAAGUCCUGCUUUCAAGGUGGGAAUUGCUUUGGAUACUGCCGCGCUUGAGUGCAGGAGAGGUUAUCGGAAUUCCCGGUGUAGCGGUGAAAUGCGUAGAGAUCGGGAGGAACACCGGUGGCGAAGGCGGGGCGCUGGGAAGUAACUGACGCUGAGGAGCGAAAGCAUGGGUAGCGAACAGGAUUGGAUCCCCUGGUAGUCCAUGCCUUAAACGGUGGGCACAAUUUGUAGGGGUCUUCCACGACUUCUGUGCCGUAGCUAACGCUUUAGGCUGCCCGCCUGGGGAGUACGUCCGCAAGGCUAAAACUCGAAGGAAUUGGCGGUU